UGGGGAAUAUUGCACAAUGGGGGAAACCCUGAUGCAGCGACGCCGCGUGAACGAAGAAGGUAUUCGUAUCGUAAAGUUCUGUCCUAUGGGAAGAUAAUGACAGUACCAUAGAAGAAAGCUCCGGCUAAAUACGUGCCAGCAGCCGCGGUAAUACGUAGGGAGCGAGCGUUGUCCGGAAUUAUUGGGCGUAAAGGGUACGCAGGCGGUUUAAUAAGUCGAAUGUUAAAGAUCGGGGCUCAACCCCGCAAAGCAUUGGAAACUGAUAAACUUGAGUAGGGGAGAGGAAAGUGGAAUUUCUAGUGUAGUGGUGAAAUACGUAGAUAUUAGGAGGAAUACCAGUAGCGAAGGCGACUUUCUGGACACAAACUGACGCUGAGGUACGAAAGCGUGGGGAGCAAACAGG
rnacentral:rRNA from 1 species